AAAGGAAUAGACGGGGGCCCGCACAAGCGGUGGAGCAUGUGGUUUAAUUCGAUGCAACGCGAAGAACCUUACCAGGUCUUGACAUCUGCAGAACCCUGAUGAAAGUUGGGGGUGCCAUUAUAGGAGCUGCAAGACAGGUGGUGCAUGGUUGUCGUCAGCUCGUGUCGUGAGAUGUUGGGUUAAGUCCCGCAACGAGCGCAACCCUUGCUAUUAGUUGCUAACAGGUAGAGCUGAGCACUCUAAUGGGACUGCCUGUGACAAGCAGGAGGAAGGUGGGGAUGACGUCAAAUCAUCAUGCCCUUUAUGAUCUGGGCUACACACGUGCUACAAUGGGUGGUACAGAGAGAAGCGAAGCUGUGAAGCGGAGCGAAUCUCAAAAAGCCAUUCUCAGUUCGGAUUGUAGUCUGCAACUCGACUACAUGAAGUCGGAAUCGCUAGUAAUCGCGGAUCAGCAUGUCGCGGUGAAUGCGUUCCCGGGCCUUGUACACACCGCCCGU
rnacentral:rRNA from 1 species